CUAGAGAAAGCCCGCGCACAGCAACAAAGACCCAACGCAGCCAAAAAUAAAUUAUUAAUAAAAAAAAAAAAAGAAAAGGCACUUGAAUUUUUUAACUCAUCUCCAUCUCUUUUAACACUUACUAUUUUCUCAGCAACCUAGGGGACAGACUGGACAGAAGAGAAUUAAGGCGGGAAUAUUUUAGAACACACAAAAUAAUAUUUAACAGACAAACUCUAGUAAAAUGCAGCCUGAAAUGUCUUUACAUUCACGGAUGCCUAGAAUCAUGUGGAUUCAGGCUAAGUAUCAAUACAAUCUAUUUUAUGACUGUAAAAUUGUUUACCCUAAUGGCAGUGUGUUAGAUCCUGGGUAAAUGUACAUGGAUCUUUACAACUCUUUUCCUGUUUUUCAGAUGGGUGCUAAUUAAAAUUUUCCAUCACAGAUAACUUCUAAAGAAGAAAAUUAUUAUAAAAUGAUUUGCCAUGUGAAUGAGCCUGGAGGAUGUGAGACCAAGAGGAGAGGCAGGCCCAACUCUGGCAGCUGAGGCCUCGGCCCCAGGAGUGAGGCCAGCCCAGACCAGAAGGACGGCCUGGCCAACACACAGAAUUAUCAUGUAUCUCAGAAGCACGGGAACGGUCACACAGCCCAGACCACUCCUGAAUCCCACAACGCCUGGCCUGUGGUUGGUGCUCAGAGACCAGGAAGUCACUCCAGCAUCCUCACAGUCCUGUGCACAUGGACAAGGUAGAUCUGCUGCCCGCCGAGGGCUGGACGCAGACACUCGCCGGCAUGCGAGCUGACGGGAGGGUGGCGUCCAAGCUCUCAGGCUGGGUAUGUGUGUUUCCCUGAGCUGUAGUCCCUGCAAACAUCCCCACCACCCCUGGCCCCGGGAUCAGAGGUGGCCUCCUCAAGGCAGGAAAGACAAAGCAUAAACAAGCUUUAGAAUGUGCCAAACUUGCAUUUUAAUUAAGAAGCAGAACUGGUUUAGCAGUCAAGGGCAGUCACCAAGUAUGAGAAGCUGUCACUUACCAAGCUGACUCACGGGACCCAGGAAGGGUCUGCAAGAAAACCAAUACUGUUACCUGACAUGAACACACAAGACGGACAGAUUAAACAUCUGAAUAACCAACUUCUAAACAUAACGGAACAGAAUUAACUAACUGAAAUUAAGUCAGUGUAUCAGCUGUUAGGAGGGGGUAGAGCCUAUCACCUGUUGAUAAGGAAUGAAAUCCCCGCUUUGU